UGAUAAAAUAUCUUCUUACUUUAAUUAUUUAAUUUUUUUGUGGGAGAAGUAACUUUGUUUUUAGUAAUAUUUUUGAAAAAAUACUUUUAGUUAUAGUUAAUUAGUACUGUAAAGUGAUUAUGAAAUAUUUUGAAAUAUUUAUUUUAACAAAAGUAUAUUUUGUUUAUAGUACCUUUUGUAUCAGGGCUGAUCUAUUUUAUUUAAUUUAUUUUUUUUUCUCGAUUUUAUAAGAGCUGAUUUAUUAUUACGGUUAGUGUGGCAUAACUAUCUUAAAUAUUUAUCUGGAAAGAUAUUUUAUUCGUUUAUAAGGGUAUCUGGUUUUUUAGGAUUCAAAUUUAAUUUGAACUUAUUUUUUUAUGUUUUAUUAUUUAAAUUUAUAUUAAUUAAGAUUAUAAUUGUAGGGGAUAAUCUCUACUUUUUUCUAAAAAAUUCAUUUUUAAUAAGUUUGGUAGGAUUAAUAUCAUCCAUCUUCAGAUCACGUCAUAGUUUCUCUUAUUAUUUAUUGAUUUUUUCUAAUUUUAGUAUUACACUAAAAUGUUUUGUUUAAUUAUUUCUCAUUAUUAAUAAUGAUUAAAUUAGUAUAUAAUUAUUGUUUAUUCUAUUAUUUUAUGUAUUCUUUUAUUAAGGAACUCGGCAACUAUAGUUCUCGCCUGUUUAUCAAAAACAUGUCCUCUUUGAUUUUAUAUGAGGUCUUACCUGCCCAGUGAUGUUUUAACGGCCGCGGUAUUUUGACCGUGCAAAGGUAGCAUAAUCAUUAGUCUUUUAAUAGGAGGCUGGAAUGAAAGGUUUGACGAAGUACUAUCUGUCUCGAUAAAAUAGUUUUGAAUUUAGCUUUUGAGUUAAAAGGCUCAAAUUUCUUUGAAGGACGAGAAGACCCUAUAGAGCUUUAAGGCUUAUUUCUAUUAAUUUUAUUUAUUUUAUUUUUUAUAUUAUUGUUUUGGUCUUUUUGUUGGGGUGACAAGAUAUAUAUAUUUAACUUUUUUAUUUAUUGAUCAUUUAUUUAUGUUUAUUAGAUCCUUUAUUAUUGACUAUUAGAAUAAGUUACCUUAGGGAUAACAGCGUAAUCUUCUCCCAGAGUUCAAAUUUACGAGAAGGCUUGCGACCUCGAUGUUGGAUUAAGAUAAUAUUCAGGUGUAGCAGCCUGACUUAUAGGUCUGUUCGACCUUUAAAUUCUUACAUGAUCUGAGUUCAGACCGGUUUAAGCCAGGUCGGUUUCUAUCCUCAAAAUUUUUGUAAUUUUUAGUACGAAAGGACCAUUUUUACAAGAUAUUCUUUUAUUUUGAUUAUUAUUA
rnacentral:rRNA from 1 species